GGGUUGUGAGGUUAAGCGACCAAGCGUACACGGUGGAUGCCCUGGCAGUCAGAGGCGAUGAAGGACGUGCUAAUCUGCGAAAAGCGCCGGUAAGGUGAUAUGAACCGUUAUAGCCGGCGAUGUCCGAAUGGGGAAACCCAGUGUGAUUCGUCACACUAUCAUUAACUGAAUCCAUAGGUUAAUGAGGCGAACCGGGGGAACUGAAACAU
rnacentral:rRNA from 1 species